GGACAACUGUUGGAAACGACAGCUAAUACCGCAUGAUCUUGAGAAGACCAAACAUUUUCAAGUAAACUUCCGGGGCUGAGGGAGGGGGCUGCGGCCCAUCAGGUAGUUGGUGAGGUAACGGCUCACCAAGCCGACGACGGGUAGGGGGCCUGAGAGGGUGGUCCCCCACACUGGGACUGACAACGGCCCAGACUCCUACGGGAGGCAGCAGUAAGGGAUAUUGCGCAAUGGGCGAAAGCCUGACGCAGCAACGCCGCGUGGAGGAAGACGGCCUUCGGGUUGUAAACUCGUUUUGCGUCUGACAAUCGUGAUGGUAGGGCGCGAAUAAGUCACGGCUAACUACGUGCCAGCAGCCGCGGUAAAACGUAGGUGGCGAGCGUUAUCCGGAUUUACUGGGCGUAAAGGGUGUGCAGGCGGGCGGCCAAGUGGUGUAUGAAAUAGCCAGGCUCAACCUGGCGCGGUUAUGCCAGACUGGUCGUCUGGAGUGCGAGAGAGGGGCGUGGAAUUCCGGGUGUAGUGGUGAAAUGCGUAGAGAUCCGGAGGAACCCCAGAGGCGAAGGCGGCGCCCUGGCUCGCAACUGACGCUCAGACACGACAGCAUGGGGAGCGAACGGGAUUAGAAACCCCGGUAGUCCAUGCCGUAAACGAUGCAAACUAGGCGCUGACGGUCUCAACCCCGCCGGUGCCGCAGCUAACGCGUUAAGUUUGCCGCCUGGGGAGUACGGCCGCAAGGCUAAAACUCAAAUGAAUUGACGG
rnacentral:rRNA from 1 species